AAAAUGGCUGUGACUUUGACAGUAUACCCCUCUUUGCAACAGAGGAAACAUUAGGAAAGGGUAGAAGAGAGAAAGUAAAAAGGUCCUCAACAGAUGUUGGCGAGACUUCAUUUCUGGACCUGGAAAAUGCACCGGUAACAAAAAAAAAAAAGACCGAAAACAUCAUUCAACAGAAGAUUAUGGCUGCGGUGAAACAAAGCUGCAUUCAAAUAAAUGAACCAAGACCUGCUGUGGGAGUGCUGAAGGAUUCAAGUGUACCAAGUCCUUUGUCUCCUCAGCCAUGUAAGAGGUCAGACAUGGCUGAAGAGAUCAAAGAGUUAAAAAAUGAAAUUAAAGAGCUUAAAGAAGAUUUAAAAUAUGAGUGUCGCUUCAGGAUAAAAGCAGAGAGAGAGAGAGCUGAGGGAGU